CUCGUACUCCCUCCGUCCGGAAAUACUUGUCAUCAAAAUGAAUAAAAGGAGAUAUAUAUAUAGAUGUAUUUUAGUUCUAUAUACAUCCUUUUUCGUCCAUUUCGAGGACAAGUACUUUCGGACGGAGGGAGUAUUAU
rfam:Triticum aestivum genome assembly, contig: Triticum_aestivum_CS42_TGACv1_scaffold_291930_4AL